ACGCAUCUAGCACAUCGGUAGUGCGACGGUCUCCAAAACCGUUGAGCGGGGUUCGAUUCCUCGGAUGCGUGCCA
rnacentral:tRNA from 1 species